GCAUAUCAAUAAGCGGAGGAAAAGAAACAACUGUGAUUCCCUUAGUAAUGGCGAAUGAAACGGGAACAGGGCAUCGCGGAACUGCAGGUCAUCUUGGCNCGCGGAAUGUCGCGUUCGGGAGAGUCUUCUCGAGGACUGGACGGCCAGUCAAAGUCCAACUUGACUGUGGCCACUGCCCAUAGAGGGUGAUAGGCCCGUAAGNCGGCUGUCCGUUCUCGCUGACUUUUCCCUAGAGUCGGGUUGCUUGGGAGUGCAGCCCAAAGUGUGAGGUAAACUCCUCAUAACCCUAAAUAUGACCCCUAGACCGAUAGCAAACAAGUACGGUGACGGAAGAUUGAAAAGAACUUUGAAGAGAGAGUUCAAUAGUACGUGAAACUGUGUGGUGGUAAACGGAGGGGUUCUCGAAGUUUCUGUGGGGAACUCAGCCUUGGUGACGUGCGGCCCUGUUGUAUCUGACCAGCAAUGGCAGUAUAGCUUGUCUGGCAUGUCUCUCGGGUGCAUUUCCCCCGCAGUUUACGACAGGAACUGUUUGGAGCGCACCGAAGCCUCGGGUGAAGUUGUUGGUUCUGCCGGCAGCCCUGGGUGUCCUGGCUUCGCACCAGACAGGUACGUGAGAGGACUCGUAUAGCGAGCAAUGCUCUGUUGCGGUUCUCAUCUCUCUGUCGAGUAGGUCGGUGGCCCCUCCGACCCGUCUUGAAACACGGACC
rnacentral:rRNA from 1 species